CGGAGGAUCCAAGCGUUAUCCGGAAUCAUUGGGUUUAAAGGGUCCGUAGGCGGGUUUAUAAGUCAGUGGUGAAAGCCCAUCGCUCAACGAUGGAACGGCCAUUGAUACUGUAGAUCUUGAAUUAUUAGGAAGUAACUAGAAUAUGUAGUGUAGCGGUGAAAUGCUUAGAGAUUACAUGGAAUACCAAUUGCGAAGGCAGGUUACUACUAAUGGAUUGACGCUGAUGGACGAAAGCGUGGGUAGCGAACAGGAUUAGAUACCCUGGUAGUCCACGCCGUAAACGAUGGAUACUAGCUGUUCGGAGCAAUCUGAGUGGCUAAGCGAAAGUGAUAAGUAUCCCACUGGGGAUACGUCGCAGAAUG
rnacentral:rRNA from 1 species